rnacentral:rRNA from 1 species
GACGUAGGGGGCCAGCGUUGUUCGGAAUUACUGGGUGUAAAGGGUUCGUAGGCGGUGUGGCAAGUCGGGAGUGAAAUCUCUGGGCUCAACCCAGAGACUGCUUCCGAAACUGCUGUGCUUGAGUGUGAGAGAGGCUCGUGGAAUUGCAGGUGUAGCGGUGAAAUGCGUAGAUAUCUGCAGGAACACCCGUGGCGAAAGCGGCGAGCUGGAUCACUACUGACGCUGAGACACGAAAGCGUGGGUAGCAAACAGG